rnacentral:rRNA from 1 species
CCUACGGGUGGCAGCAGUGGGGAAUAUUGGGCAAUGGGGGAAACCCUGACCCAGCAACGCCGCGGGAAGGAAGAAGGCUUUCGGGUUGUAAACGUCUUGUACCAGGGACGAAGAAAGUGACGGUACGGGGAGAAAAAGCUCCGGCUAACUACGUGCCAGCAGCCGCGGUAAUACGUAGGGAGCGAGCUUUGUCCGGGUUUACUGGGUGUAAAGGGCGUGUAGGCGGCGCUGCAAGUCAGAAGGGAAAUCUCCGGGCUCAACCCGGAAACUGCUUUUGAAACUGUAGCCCUUGAGUAUCGGAGAGGCAGGCGGAAUUCCUUGUGUCGCGGUGAAAUGCGUAGAUAUUAGGAG